GACGAACGCUGGCGGCGUGCCUAAUACAUGCAAGUGGGACGCAAGGGAACACACUGUGCUUGCACACCGUGUUUUCUUGAGUCGCGAACGGGUGAGUAACGCGUAGGUAACCUGCCUAUUAGCGGGGGAUAACUAUUGGAAACGAUAGCUAAUACCGCAUAAUAUUAAUUAUUGCAUGAUAAUUGAUUGAAAGAUGCAAGCGCAUCACUAGUAGAUGGACCUGCGUUGUAUUAGCUAGUUGGUAAGGUAAGAGCUUACCAAGGCGACGAUACAUAGCCGACCUGAGAGGGUGAUCGGCCACACUGGGACUGAGACACGGCCCAGACUCCUACGGGAGGCAGCAGUAGGGAAUCUUCGGCAAUGGACGAAAGUCUGACCGAGCAACGCCGCGUGAGUGAAGAAGGUUUUCGGAUCGUAAAGCUCUGUUGUAAGUCAAGAACGUGUGUGAGAGUGGAAAGUUCACACAGAGACGUAGCUACCA
rnacentral:rRNA from 1 species